rnacentral:rRNA from 1 species
GCGUAUGGAACCUGCCUUGUACAGGGGAAUAGCCCAGGGAAACUUGGAUUAAUGCCCCGUAGUACCGCGACCCGGCAUCGGGAUGCGGUUAAAGUCUUCGGGCGGUACAAGAUGGCCAUGCGUCCCAUUAGCUAGUUGGUAAGGUAACGGCUUACCAAGGCUACGAUGGGUAGGGGCCCUGAGAGGGGGAUCCCCCACACUGGUACUGAGACACGGACCAGACUCCUACGGGAGGCAGCAGUGAGGAAUAUUGGACAAUGGAGGAGACUCUGAUCCAGCCAUGCCGCGUGCAGGAAGAAUGCCCUAUGGGUAGUAAACUGCUUUUAUACGGGAAGAAAAAGAGCUACGUGUAGCUUACUGACGGUACCGUAAGAAUAAGGACCGGCUAACUCCGUGCCAGCAGCCGCGGUAAUACGGAGGGUCCGAGCGUUAUCCGGAAUUAUUGGGUUUAAAGGGUCCGUAGGCGGGCCGAUAAGUCAGGGGUGAAAGUCUGCCGCUCAACGGUAGAACUGCCUUUGAUACUGUCGGUCUUGAGUUAUAGUGAAGUUGCCGGAAUAUGUAGUGUAGCGGUGAAAUGCAUAGAUAUUACAUAGAACACCGAUUGCGAAGGCAGGUGACUAACUAUAUACUGACGCUGAUGGACGAAAGCGUGGGGAGCGAACAGGAUUAGAUACCCUGGUAGUCCACGCCGUAAACGAUGGAUACUAGCUGUCCGGUGCCUUGAGUACUGG